UAUGGGUAGCGUGCAGUCGCUUUGUUUACAAAGAGGAAAGUCUGAGCUCGCGUAGAAAGUGAUAACGGAUAACAUCCGUCGAGGGAAACCUUAGGGAAAGUGCAGCAGAAAAAAACCGCCGCAAGGUAAGGGUGAAAAGGUGAGGUAAGAGCUUACCGGAUAUCUAAAAUAUAUCGCAAUAUGCAAACCCUAUCACGAGUAAGAUCAAAUAGAGGUUAAAACUAUUUCUACAGUUGACCUGGGUUGAUCGCUAGAGCUAGGUAGCAAUAUUUAGCCUAGAUAAAUGACUGCAAAUUUUAAUUAAAUUACAGAACUCAGCUUAUAGCUACCCAAUUCUA
rnacentral:RNase_P_RNA from 1 species